CCUACGGGUGGCAGCAGUGGGGAAUAUUGGGCAAUGGGCGCAAGCCUGACCCAGCAACGCCGCGUGAAGGAAGAAGGCUUUCGGGUUGUAAACCUCUUUUGACAGGGAAGAGCAGAAGACGGUACCUGGCGAAUAAGCCACGGCGAACUACGUGCCAGCAGCCGCGGUAAUACGUAGGUGGCAAGUGUUGUCCGGAUUUACUGGGUGUAAAGGGCGUGUAGCCGGGCUGACAAGUCAGAUGUGAAAUCCGGGGGCUCAACCCCCGAACUGUAGUUGAAACUGUUGGUCUUGAGUAUCGGAGAGGCAGGCGGAAUGCCUGGUGUAGCGGUGAAAUGCGUAGAUAUUACGAGGAACCCCGGUGGCGAAGGCGGCCUGCUGGACGACAACUGACGGUGAGGCGCGAAAGCGUGGGGAGCAAACAGGAUUAGAUACCCCUGUAGUC
rnacentral:rRNA from 1 species